rnacentral:lncRNA from 1 species
UUUCCUAAAGGUGUUCGAUUUUGGUCUAUAGCCGAUCCAAGCAGUCAGCUCUGAAGAAUCAAAUUAAAUGGAUCAGUUCGCCUGAGAAGAGGGAAGCUUGGGCACGAGUUUACAUCGGCUGAUUCGCUGGAGAUGGUGGACCUUGGCGACGGUAGCAAGCCAAGACUGACGUAUAUUAGUGCUAAGUUAGACUUCGAGUAUAAGCGUGAGUUAACAAGUUUG